CGUGAAGGAAAAAAACAAAUGCAAGCCGGGAAGUCCCCAGUGGUGCCUGCACCUAGGAGGCGACUGCAACGGAUGGAUGCGGGGGUGGAUAAUCAGCAACCCCCCAAGACUGUGCCUGCUGCACAACUACAGAACACAGUGGAAGACACGCUGAACUUUGAGCCAGAAGGUUGACUUUCUAGCUAUGGGGACUUGGCCAAACCUCCUCAGAGCUUCAGUUUUCUCAUCUGUAAAAUAGGGAUCUUAAUCCCUACCAAUCUCACAGGACUGCUGAGAGUAUCAGAUGAGUGUUACCUGGUAUAAUAGAAGUGUAAGAUACCUGGAAAAGGAUACCUAAAUAAUUUAAGUGGUAGCUGGAGGACCUUGCAUCUCUGGAUCUUGGUAUUCUCAUGUGUAAAAUGGGAAACUUGGACUAUCUCAGAAGUCUCCAGGCUUUCCUAGUAGAAAUUGAGAAGUAAUCCGAAAAGAUGGAGGGGUGAGAAGAUGCGACCUCCGGUGUUCCACAUGCAAUGCUUUCCAGCUGCCUCCAGACAUUGGAAUUGUCUUACUUCAGGAGAGGUACAUGGAGGGAAGGAAGCCUGAACAUGAGGAGAUAUACACAGAACUGGUUAUAUAAUUUGGAGGGCCCCUUGUUCAAAAUAAUAAGAAUUUCAAGACUGCAACAGUAGCACAUUGAACCAAGCAUGGGUCCUUGUAAGUGUGGGACCCCAGGCAACUGCACUAGUUGUUCCUUUAUGAAGCCAUCCCUGAAUAUGUUACAGACCAGAGGCUGUGGCUCCCCAUGUAAUUAAAAUUAACACAAGGCCAAGCAGGUGUCCUGGACAAGGAUUCUAUUUUGGGGCUUGUGCUAGAGCACAAGAAAGACAGCCAAAGGGAGAUAGCAGAGGCAAAAGGAUUCUUCAGCUGGCUCUCUGAAAAAAAA